rnacentral:tRNA from 1 species
AUAGAUAUGUUGGAAUUGGUAGACAAUUUCCACUUAGGAUGGAAUGGCUUCAGCCGUACAAGUUCGAGUCUUGUUAUCUAUAC